UUCACUAGUGAAGGUCUCCGCGGCUAUCGCGUAGUAAAUUCGUAAAAAUACCAUGCUUGGGUAGUGUUUGUGUGUCUGGUGGUUUUCUCCCAGCGAAGACCCGGCUCAUCGUCCACCAACAACAUCCCAGUGUGCAGCCAGCGCUACCAACGAACUUCCAUAACCCGCCACCAGAGGAGCUGUUAGCUGUGGGCGGGGAGGCGAAAGGAGUCGUGACAGGAAGGAUGGGGAUCAGGGUGAAAGCUCGGAUGAAGAGGAGGAGGCAAGGGGAAGAACUAGGACCGCCAUCAUUCUGGGAGUCCGCGGAAUCGUUCUAUUCCCCGGACGACGCCAAAGCGAACAGAUCUGUCGACUACCAUCUGUUCUGCCAAGUGACUUUUAAUAGUGCCCAGUAGUGCCCAUCAGUGCCCAACAUCACCGGCUGGACCAGUAGGAGAGCAACGCCGAGUUGCUAGAGUGCAGGAGUUGAUUUGGAGGACACCAGGACCCCUUGUGUUUGGUGAUAACCGUCAUAGUAUCAACGACGGCUCACCCGUGUCGCUGACACCUACCGGGGACUCAAACCACCUCGAGUCUCCCCGAACGCAACCGUUACCGGGAUAACCUGCUCGACCUGUGCCUAUCCGGGGAAUCCGGGCACCCUCGACGGUGUACCGAAGGCCACAGCCGUAACCAUCUGUGGCGAGGCCAGGACGAGCAGCGGACGGGUCCAUCGACGACGCGCCGUAGGAGAACCACCUUGGACGGCAAGCGGUCGUGCACGCGUGCGCCAGCUUGAAGAAGCGGAAGUGAAGAAGGAGAAGAAGGAGGGAGCGGAAGUGUGUAGCAGGAACAGGAAGGUGGACAUCGCCGGCGAGCUGCGAUCGACGACGGGGCCCCGAAGAAGAAGAAAAGGAAAAGGUCAGAUUAGUCUGUAAGAAAGUGGGAGGAAUAAAGAGAAGUGUAGAGAGAGAGAAUAAAGUGUGUAGAGUUUUGGACCGCA